AGCGAACGCUGGCGGCAGGCCUAACACAUGCAAGUCGAACGGCAGUACAGUAACUGGUUGCUCUUACGGGAGCCGCGGGGCGGACGGGUGCGGUAUGCUUCGCAAUCUACAUGUUUGCGUUGGCUAACGUAGGGUGACUCCCGCUAAGGCAACAUUCGUCCACCGGGUGGAUGCAGGGGAUUAUGCGGCUUUGCGGGUACGAAUGAGUCGACGCCGGAGUAGCUAGAUGGUGGGGUAAGGGCCUACCAACGCGACGAUCGGUACCUGGUCUGAGCGGAUGAUCCGCCACCCUGGAACUGAGACACGGUACAGACUCCUACGGGAGGCAGCAGUGGGGAAUCUUGGGCGAUGGGCGAAAGCCUGAUCCAGCCAUACCGCGUGGGUGAAGAAGGCCUUCGGGUGGUAGAACCCUGUUGUUGGGAAAGAAGAACAGUAGUUUAAUCCCUGGCUGUACUGACGGUACCCGAAGAAGAAGCCCCGGCUAACUUCGUG
rnacentral:rRNA from 1 species